rnacentral:rRNA from 1 species
AACGAACGCUGGCGGCAUGCCUAACACAUGCAAGUCGAACGCCCUGGGCAACCAGGGAGUGGCGGACGGGUGAGUAACGCGUGGGGACCUGCCUCGAAGUUCGGAAUAACCGCGGGAAACUGCGGCUAAUACCGGAUGUGGCCUGAGUGCCAAAGGGGAAACUCGCUUCGAGAGGGGCCCGCGUCCGAUUAGCUAGUUGGCGGGGUAACGGCCCACCAAGGCGACGAUCGGUAGCUGGUCUGAGAGGAUGAUCAGCCACACUGGGACUGAGACACGGCCCAGACUCCUACGGGAGGCAGCAGUGGGGAAUAUUGGACAAUGGGCGGAAGCCUGAUCCAGCAAUGCCGCGUGAGUGAUGAAGGCCUUAGGGUUGUAAAGCUCUUUUACCUGGGAUGAUAAUGACAGUACCAGGAGAAUAAGCCCCGGCUAACUCCGUGCCAGCCGCCGCAGUAAGAC